rnacentral:rRNA from 1 species
UACAGAGGUCCCAAGCGUUGUUCGGAUUCACUGGGCGUAAAGGGUGCGUAGGCGGUCGGGUAAGUCUGAUGUGAAAUCUCACAGCUUAACAGUGAAACUGCAUUGGAUACUAUCCGGCUUGAGGAAUGGAGGGGAGACUGGAAUACUUGGUGUAGCAGUGAAAUGCGUAGAUAUCAAGUGGAACACCAGUGGCGAAGGCGAGUCUCUGGACAUUUCCUGACGCUGAGGCACGAAAGCCAGGGGAGCAAACGGG